rnacentral:rRNA from 1 species
CCUACGGGUGGCAGCAGUGAGGAAUAUUGGUCAAUGGACGAGAGUCUGAACCAGCCAAGUAGCGUGAAGGAUGACUGCCCUAUGGGUUGUAAACUUCUUUUAUAUGGGAAUAAAAUGUUCCACGUGUGGGAUUUUGUAUGUACCCUAUGAAUAAGGAUCGGCUAACUCCGUGCCAGCAGCCGCGGUAAUACGGAGGAUCCGAGAGUUAUCCGGAUUUAUUGGGUUUAAAGGGGGCGUAGGUGGAUUGUUAAGUCAGUUGUGAAAGUUUGCGGCUCAACCGUAAAAUUGCAGUUGAAACUGGCAGUCUGGAGUACAGGAGAGGUGGGCGGAAUUCGUGGUGUAGCGGUGAAAUGCUUAGAUAUCGCGAAGAACUCCGAUUGCGAAGGCAGCUCACUGGACUGCAACUGACACUGAGGCUCGAAAGUGUGGGUAUCAAACAGGAUUAGAUACCCCUGUAGUC